UACAGAGGGGGCAAGCGUUGUUCGGAAUUACUGGGCGUAAAGGGCGCGUAGGCGGCCUGUUAAGUCAGACGUGAAAUCCCUCGGCUCAACCGGGGAACUGCGUCCGAUACUGGCGGGCUUGAAUUCGGGAGAGGGAUGUGGAAUUCCAGGUGUAGCGGUGAAAUGCGUAGAUAUCUGGAGGAACACCGGUGGCGAAGGCGGCAUCCUGGACCGACAUUGACGCUGAGGCGCGAAAGCCAGGGGAGCAAACGGG
rnacentral:rRNA from 1 species